rnacentral:rRNA from 1 species
GACGAACGCUGGCGGCGUGCUUAACACAUGCAAGUCGAACGGAAAGGCCCCCUUGUGGGGUACUCGCGUGGCGAACGGGUGAGUAACACGUGAGUAACCUACCCUUGACUUUGUGAUAACUUCAGGAAACUGGGGCUAAUACCGGAUAGGAGCUCCUGCUGCAUGGUUGGGGUUGGAAAGUUUCGGCGGUUGGGGAUGGACUCGCGGCUUAUCAGCUUGUUGGUGGGGUAGUGGCUCACCAAGGCUUUGACGGGUAGCCGGCCUGAGAGGGUGACCGGCCACAUUGGGACUGAGAUACGGCCCAGACUCCUACGGGAGGCAGCAGUGGGGAAUAUUGCACAAUGGGCGGAAGCCUGAUGCAGCAACGCCGCGUGCGGGAUGACGGCCUUCGGGUUGUAAACCGCUUUCGCCUGUGACGAAGCGUGAGUGACGGUAAUGGGUAAAGAAGCACCGGCUAACUACGUG